rnacentral:rRNA from 1 species
AUACAGAGGGUGCGAGCGUUAAUCGGAAUUACAGGGCGUAAAGCGCGCGUAGGCGGCUGAUUAAGUCAGAUGUGAAAUCCCCGGGCUCAACCUGGGAACUGCACCUGAUACUGGUAAGCUAGAGUUUGGGAGAGGGAAGUAGAAUUUCAGGUGUAGCGGUGAAAUGCAUAGAGAUCUGAAGGAAUACCAGUGGCGAAGGCGACUUCCUGGCCUAAAACUGACGCUGAGGUGCGAAAGCGUGGGUAGCAAACGGGAUUAGAAACCCCAGUAGUCC